rnacentral:piRNA from 2 species
GAGUAGUGGACAGAAGGGAUUUCUG